AGUCAUAUGCUUGUCUCAAAGAUUAAGCCAUGCAUGUCUCAGUACAAGCCAAAUUAAGGUGAAACCGCGAAAGGCUCAUUAAAUCAGUUAUGGUUCCUUAGAUCGUACCCACAUUUACUUGGAUAACUGUGGUAAUUCUAGAGCUAAUACAUGCUUACAGAACUCUGACCGGAGACGGAAAGAGUGCUUUUAUUAGAUCAAAACCAAUCGGUGGCGGGCUUGCUCGUCAUCGUACAUCUUGGUGACUCUGAAUAACUUUUGCUGAUCGCACGGUCUCGCACCGGCGACGCAUCUUUCAAAUGUCUGCCUUAUCAACUGUCGAUGGUAGGUUCUGCGCCUACCAUGGUUGUAACGGGUAACGGGGAAUCAGGGUUCGAUUCCGGAGAGGGAGCCUGAGAAACGGCUACCACAUCCAAGGAAGGCAGCAGGCGCGCAAAUUACCCACUCCCGGCACGGGGAGGUAGUGACGAAAAAUAACGAUACGGGACUCAUCCGAGGCCCCGUAAUCGGAAUGAGUACACUCUAAACCUUUUAACAAGGAUCAAUUGGAGGGAAAGUCUGGUGCCAGCAGCCGCGGUAAUUCCAGCUCCAAUAGCGUAU
rnacentral:rRNA from 1 species